UACAGAGGUGGCAAGCGUUGUUCGGAAUUACUGGGCGUAAAGGGCGCGUAGGCGGCCUUCUAAGUCAGACGUGAAAUCCCCAGGCUUAACUUGGGAACUGCGUCUGAUACUGGGAGGCUUGAAUGCGGGAGAGGGAUGUGGAAUUCCAGGUGUAGCGGUGAAAUGCGUAGAUAUCUGGAGGAACACCGGUGGCGAAGGCGGCGUUCUGGACUGCAACUGACACUGAUGAACGAAAGCCAGGGGAGCAAACGGG
rnacentral:rRNA from 1 species